AUUGAACGCUGGCGGCACGCCUUACACAUGCAAGUCGAACGGCAGCACGGGUGCUUGCACCUGGUGGCGAGUGGCGAACGGGUGAGUAAUACAUCGGAACGUACCUUAUCGUGGGGGAUAACGCAGCGAAAGCUGUGCUAAUACCGCAUACGCCCUGAGGGGGAAAGCGGGGGAUCGAAAGACCUCGCGCGAUUAGAGCGGCCGAUGCCUGAUUAGCUUGUUGGUGGGGUAAAAGCCCACCGAGGCGACGAUCAGUAGCUGGUCUGAGAGGACGAUCAGCCACACUGGGACUGAGACACGGCCCAGACUCCUACGGGGGGCAGCAGUGGGGAAUUUUGGACAAUGGGGGCAACCCUGAUCCAGCAAUGCCGCGUGAGUGAAGAAGGCCUUCGGGUUGUAAAGCUCUUUUGUCAGGGAAGAAACACCGGCUCUAACACAGUCCGGGAAUGACGGUACCUGAAGAAUAAGCACCGGCUAACUACGUGCCAGCCGCCGCGGUAA
rnacentral:rRNA from 1 species